UGCAAGUCGAACGGUAACAUAAGGAAGCUUGCUUUCUUGAUGACGAGUGGCGAACGGGUGAGUAAUACAUCGGAACGUACCCUGUAGUGGGGGAUAACUACUCGAAAGAGUAGCUAAUACCACAUACAACCUGAGGGUAAAAGUGGGGGACCGCAAGGCCUCACGCUAUAGGAGCGGCCGAUGGAAGAUUAGGUAGUUGGUAGGGUAAAGGCCUACCAAGCCGACGAUCUUUAGCGGGUCUGAGAGGACGAUCCGCCACACUGGGACUGAGACACGGCCCAGACUCCUACGGGAGGCAGCAGUGGGGAAUUUUGGACAAUGGGCGCAAGCCUGAUCCAGCAAUGCCGCGUGAGUGAAGAAGGCCUUCGGGUUGUAAAGCUCUUUUGUUUGGGAAGAAAUCCCUAAGGAUAAUACCCUUGGGGGAUGACGGUACCAAAAGAAUAAGCACCGGCUAACUACGUGCCAGCAGCCGCGGUAAUACGUAGGGUGCAAGCGUUAAUCGGAAUUACUGGGCGUAAAGCGUGCGCAGGCGGUUUUGUAAGACAGGUGUGAAAUCCCCGAGCUCAACUUGGGAACUGCACUUGUGACUGCAAGACUAGAGUGUGUCAGAGGGAGGUAGAAUUCCACGUGUAGCAGUGAAAUGCGUAGAUAUGUGGAGGAAUACCAGUGGCGAAGGCGGCCUCCUGGGAUAACACUGACGCUCAUGUACGAAAGCGUGGGGAGCAAACAGGAUUAGAUACCCUGGUAGUCCACGCCCUAAACGAUGUCAACUGGUUGUUGGGGAUUCAUUUCCUUAGUAACGAAGCUAACGCGUGAAGUUGACCGCCUGGGGAGUACGGUCGCAAGAUUAAAACUCAAAUGAAUUGACGGGGACCCACACAAGCGGUGGAUGAUGUGGAUUAAUUCGAUGCAACGCGAAAAACCUUACCUACCCUUGACAUGCCACUAACGAAGUAGAGAUACAUUA
rnacentral:rRNA from 1 species